rnacentral:rRNA from 1 species
AAACGGGUGCGGAACACGUACGCAACCUUCCUUUAAGUGGUGAAUAGCUUUCGGAAACGAAAAUUAAUACACCGUAAUAUUAUGAAGUGGCAUCAUUUUAUAAUUAUAGCUCCGGCGCUUAAAGAUGGGCGUGCGUCUGAUUAGGUAGUUGGCGGGGUAACGGCCCACCAAGCCUGCGAUCAGUAACUGGUGUGAGAGCACGACCAGUCACACGGGCACUGAGACACGGGCCCG